rnacentral:rRNA from 1 species
UACGUAGGGUGCAAGCGUUGUCCGGAAUUAUUGGGCGUAAAGAGCUCGUAGGCGGCUUGUCGCGUCGACUGUGAAAACCUGGGGCUUAACUCCGGGCCUGCAGUCGAUACGGGCAAGCUAGAGUUCGGUAGGGGAGACUGGAAUUCCUGGUGUAGCGUUGAAAUGCGCAGAUAUCAGGAGGAACACCGGUGGCGAAGGCGGGUCUCUGGGCCGAUAUUGACGCUGAGGAGCGAAAGCGUGGGGAGCAAACAGG